rnacentral:rRNA from 1 species
GACGAACGCUGGCGGCGUGCUUAACACAUGCAAGUCGAGCGGAGCGGCGAACGGGUGGGUAGCGCGUGAGUAACUGCCCCCCUCUCUGGGAUAACAGUUGGAAACGGCGGCUAAUACCGGAUAGUGGGGGAUGACGCGGGUCGUAUCGGCUUGUGGGUGGGGUAGUGGCCUACCAAGGCGACGACGGGUAGCCGGCCUGGGGGGGGGACCGGCCCCCUGGGGCUGAGAUACGCACCAAACGCGAAUGGGGGGCAGCAGUGGGGAAUAUUGCCCAACGGGGCAAACCCUGUGGAAGAAGCCCGGGGGCGGAAAGACGGCUUGCGGGUUGUAAACCGCUUUCAGCCAUGACGCGGUAGUGGCAGAAGAAGCACCGGCUAACUACGUGCCAGCAGCCGCGGUAAUAC